rnacentral:rRNA from 1 species
GGACUACACGGGUAUCUAAUCCUGUUUGCUCCCCUAGCUUUCGUGCCUCAGUGUCAGGAGUUGUCCAGAGACUCGCCUUCGCCACUGGUGUUCCUCUCGAUAUCUACGCAUUUCACUGCUACACCGAGAAUUCCAGUCUCCCCUCCAACCCUCUAGCAGGAUAGUAUUCAAUGCAUUUUCCGGGUUGAGCCCGGAGAUUUCACAUCAAACUUACCCCGCCACCUGCGCACCCUUUACGCCCAGUGAAUCCGAACAACGCUUGGGACCUCUGUAUUACCGCGGCUGCUGGCAC